CGGCGAGUGAAGCGGCAAAAGCUCAAAUUUGAAAUCUGGCACCUUCGGUGUCCGAGUUGUAAUUUGAAGAAGCAACUUUGGGGCUAGUCCUUGUCUAUGUUCCUUGGAACAGGACGUCAUGGAGGGUGAGAAUCCCGUUUGGCGAGGAGUCUAGUCCUAUGUAAAGUGCUUUCGACGAGUCGAGUUGUUUGGGAAUGCAGCUCUAAGUGGGUGGUAAAUUCCAUCUAAAGCUAAAUAUUGGCGAGAGACCGAUAGCGAACAAGUACAGUGAUGGAAAGAUGAAAAGAACUUUGAAAAGAGAGUGAAAAAGUACGUGAAAUUGUUGAAAGGGAAGGGCAUUUGAUCAGACAUGGUGUUUUGCGACCCUCGCUCCUUGUGGGUGGGGAUCUCGCAGUUCACUGGGCCAACAUCAGUUUUGGCGGCAGGAUAAAUCUUUGGGAAUGUGGCUUUUCUUCGGAGAAGCGUUAUAGACCAGGGGAAUACUGCCAGCCGGGACUGAGGACUGCGACUUUUGUCAAGGAUGUUGGCAUAAUGGUUAUAUGCCGCCC
rnacentral:rRNA from 2 species